GUUGGCUUUAAAACAAGAGAUUGUAGAAAUGGAAGCCAUUUCUUUGUGGUUCUGCAGGUUUUCGUUAAUUUAUUUUCUUAUUUUUUCUCACAUGGUCAAGUCAGGAGACGCUUCACGUAAGUUUAAGUUACUCCAAGAGGCGCAGGUGAUGACACCACCCACCAUUCGACCACCUGAAAAAAAGGGAUUUGGACCUAAUAUUUGUCCUGGAUCACCGCCGCCACCGAAAAUUCCACCACCUGUGGCGUGUACACCACCACCACCACCGCCUGUGGUGUGUGCGCCACCACCGCCUGUGGCGUGUG
rnacentral:misc_RNA from 1 species